UCCGUUGUGGUCUAGUGGUAAGGAUUUACGGCUCUCACCCGUGAGGCCCAAAUUCGAUUCUCGCCAGAGGAA
rnacentral:tRNA from 1 species